UACGUAGGGUGCAAGCGUUAUCCGGAAUUAUUGGGCGUAAAGAGCUCGUAGGCGGUUUGUCGCGUCGACUGUGAAAUCCCGCGGCUCAACUGCGGGUCUGCAGUCGAUACGGGCAGGCUAGAGUUCGGUAGGGGAGACUGGAAUUCCUGGUGUAGCGGUGAAAUGCGCAGAUAUCAGGAGGAACACCGGUGGCGAAGGCGGGUCUCUGGGCCGUAACUGACGCUGAGGAGCGAAAGCAUGGGGAGCGAACAGG
rnacentral:rRNA from 1 species